CACGUAGGGCGCAAGCGUUGUCCGGAAUUAUUGGGCGUAAAGAGCUCGUAGGCGGUCUGUUGCGUCCGCUGUGAAAACUCGGGGCUUAACCCCGAGCCUGCAGUGGAUACGGGCAGACUAGAGGUAGGUAGGGGAGAAUGGAAUUCCCGGUGUAGCGGUGAAAUGCGCAGAUAUCAGGAGGAACACCGAUGGCGAAGGCAGCUCGCUGGGACGUGACUGACGCUGAGACGCGAAAGCGUGGGGAGCAAACAGG
rnacentral:rRNA from 1 species